UACGGAGGAUCCAAGCGUUAUCCGGAUUUAUUGGGUUUAAAGGGUGCGUAGGCGGAUUUGUAAGUCAGUGGUGAAAUCCUACAGCUUAACUGUAGAAUUGCCAUUGAUACUGCAGGUCUUGAAUAUAGUUGGGGUGGAUGGAAUGUAUCAUGUAGCGGUGAAAUGCUUAGAUAUGAUACAGAACACCAAUCGCGUAGGCAGUUCACCAAACUAUUAUUGACGCUGAGGCACGAAAGCAUGGGGAGCAAACAGG
rnacentral:misc_RNA from 1 species